UUGGUUAACUGGCUCUGCAGCCUAUUUAAGAGCUUGGAUGGUUAGCAACAGUGUAGGCUCUGCUGCGAGAAGGUGUGUGCGAGCACACCAGAGCCUUCCACCAGCUGGGUGCCCUGCCUGUCCGGACCACGGCAGGGGUGAUGUUGCCUGCCUCUCCGGACUGCUACAGUUGGUCAGGCUGCUGUCUUGUCUUCCUUUAGUUUUGUUUGAUGUUUGAUUUACUAUUUUGUCUGUUACUUUUGGUUUGAUUGUCUUUGUCCAUUGUCUUUCUUUUGUGAGCAGGCAGAGUGUUAAUGGGGGGGGGGGCCUAGUCACCUGCUGGGGAACUAGAGUGUGUGUACUGAGAGUUGCUUGCUGUGGAGAGUUGCACUACUUAACACUUUCAUACUGGAGAAUUGCUGUGUUUGAUAUAAACUGGUCACCGUUGAUAUUAGCCUGCCCCCUCAGGCCAGCUCUGUCUGUCUCUGUUGAAUGUCUGUCUUUUGUGUUCAAUAAAUUGUUUAUUUAAGGAA